CGGGGAUCGAAUCAUGCGGGACCGUGGAUCCAUCGUCCUUCUAGGGCUUUUCCUGGCAGGAUGUCUAUUUGCAUUUUCAAACGCAAAAGAGGAAGCCAGUAAGUUGGGAACUGUCAUUGGAAUCGAUCUUGGCACCACCUACUCGUGUGUUGGUGUCUACAAGAAUGGUCAUGUGGAAAUUAUUGCCAAUGACCAGGGAAACCGUAUCACCCCCUCGUGGGUGUCUUUUACUGAUAAUGAAAGACUUAUUGGUGAGGCCGCAAAGAAUCUGGCGGCUGCAAAUGCCGAAAGAACCAUCUUUGAUGUUAAGAGACUCAUCGGAAGAAAAUACGAUGACAAGGAGGUCCAGAAGGACAUCAAACUGUUCCCAUACAAGAUUGUGAACAAGGAUGGUAAGCCUUACAUACAGGUUAAGAUCAAGGAUGGGG
rnacentral:misc_RNA from 1 species